rnacentral:lncRNA from 1 species
UGUUUGACUUCAAUUUUGGGGACAGAAAUUCAGUUGAUAUGCUGAAGUACAGCAAACUGAUAAAGACAAAUCACAGUUCUUGACUGUGCCAAUCAGACACAUUUACAUCUAUUAUGUGGUGGAUCAUCUAACUUUUGUUUUUUUUUUUUUUUUUUGGUCUUUUCCAGGGCUACACCCAUGGCAUAUGGUGGUUCCAGGCUAGGGGUCCAGUUGGAGCUGCAGCUGCCAGCCUAUGCCAGAGCCACAGCAAAGUGGGAUCUGAGCUGCAUCUGCAACCUACACCACAGCUCACAGCAGUGCCGGAUCCUUAGCCCACUGAGCGAGGCCAGGGAUGGAACCUGCAACCUCAUGGUUCCUAGUCAGAUUUGUUUCUGCUGCACCACAAUUGGAACUCUGAUCAUCUAACUUUUUUAUAGAAGCAAAGGAUACAUUAAGGAUAACAAGUAGGGAAGCUACACCAAAGGGGAAAAAAAUGAAGUUUACUUCAAGGACAGGUUUAGAGGGAGCAGAGUGUUUGUGAAUAUAGCAUGAAUAUGUGACAAGUAGAAAUAAAUGUGUGUUACCACUUCAGUCAAUCUAGUUUUCUCUAAUGGGGUGCUGUGUAUUGGGAAAACUGAAUUACAUAUAUCAAUGUAAUCAAAACCUUUAAGAAAAAUUAUUUUGUGAUAAUAUUUCUGUCAUGUCAUAUAAGCCUUUUCCUGGAGAAGUUAAUUCCCCAAACGCCCUCAUUGAUUUACUCUUUAAGUAAAGGUGGCAGAAUAAAUAAGAUUGUAAUGUUAACAGCUGGCUCAGUGUUCCCCUUAGGGAGAAAACUCUUUGUUUAGGAAAACACUUCGAUAUUCUGCUUUAGAUGUGUGAGCCCUAAGGACGUGUUCUGGAAGGAUCCCAUAAGAAAAAAAAAAUGAUAAACUUCUCUGGUCUAAAAAUUUAAUAGAAAUUUAGAAGAGGUUUAGGCUUCUUGUUUUUCCUCUUUCCACAGUUUAAAUUCCUUCUCCUAUAUUUGAAAUUCAUAGAUCAAGAGUGAGUCCAUAAAAUCUUAGGCUCCCACCCUCAACCUCAAUAAAAGCAGAACUCCUGGCCUGCAUGCUUCCAUACCUCUGUCCCCAGGACCCAGCCUUAUUAUCCUGCUAGUCCCUAUCUAGAACUCUACUUCUGUUGCCAAACUUAAACAUUUUGGAAAUGUCUUAAAAAUAUAUUCAACAGACUUUUUAAAGGCUUAUUCUAUGAGUCAGAUACAUUGCUACAAUAGAAGAUGAUCAAGACUGCAAGGUCUCUGAUACCAAUGUUAGAGUAGGCUAGUCAAUAAUCACAUAGUGGUUUCUCACAGUCAGACAUCUGUCUAUGAGAUACAGAAUUCUCUUGGGUGAGAACUGUUGAACAACUGUCAGCAAAAGACAGGAACCUAC